ensembl:snRNA
AUGUUGUACAAAAGGAGAGAAGGUUAACACACCUCUUGGCAAAGAUAAAAGAGGCCCUUGGGCAUAACAACAUACAGUUUUAAAAAAAAAAGUUAUUUCU